GUGGCAGGAGGAGCCGGGUGAGAGGGGCCCUGGCCACCUGGGAGCUGGUGGGUGGACGGACCCGGCGGGGGCUGGCACGGAGGGUCCCUGUGCCGCUGCGGAGGCAGCAGGGAGGGAGCUGCAAGGGAUCAGCCCUGGGCGAGGGUCCUCAUCUCUCCCAGGGUCUGGGGGGGGGUCUGCAGCCACCACGAUGGGUGGACCAUGCUCUGGGCACAGGCAGCUUCAGCUCUCUCGGCGUUGCCUCCUCGGGCUGCGGUUGCUCCAGCUCUGGUGGGUCCCAGGUUGUGCAGCCCAGGCGCGGUCAGAGCGAGGGGCUGGUGCUGGGGGAGAUGCGGAGCCUCCCGCCAUGGGGGGGUGACCUCAGCCUUGCCCGGGAGCCGGCUCUGUGGCCGGGCAGGCGCUGCCGUGGCCAGUGCCCACCCGGCACGGAUCCCUUGGCUCCAGACCGGGUGCGGUGCGGGUCGACGGCGUGGAGGUGUGCACCACGGGCACGGGCACGGACACGACCGUCAUCAACACCAGCGUCGGCCAGCAGUCCUCGCUGUCCUACCUGGUCACUGCCGCGAGGUCCUGGUGGCGGCUGCAGCGUGGACCGGGCCAUGCUGGGGGUGGUUGUGGGGCUGGUCUGUACAGACUGGGCUAUACUGGACCAUACUGGGGGUGGCUGUGGGGCUGGUCCGUACGGACUGGGCCAUGCUGGGCCUUUGUCCCCAGGCUGGCUUUGUCCCCAGGCUGGCUUUCCUCACACAGUUUGUCACCUCUGGAGACUUCUGUGUCCUGAGCACGAAGCACGGCUGCGGUUGCUGGGUGGAUGCGAGCGGCACCAGGGGCUUUCCUGGGGGACCGGUGACUCGGUGACCCACAAUGUGCAGUGCAGAGCCCGGGGCAACUCCCUUCUUCUGAGGACCUGCAGACGUGGCUCUUGACCUUCCCCAGGCCCGGAGCCAGCACCGCUCUAAUCGAAGCUCGCCGUUUCUGCCCCAGUUCGUCAGCGGGUGCCUGUGCUCCCUGGCACAGCAUGGCACGGCACAGUGUGGUACUGCACGGCACGGCACAGGGCAGCUGCUUCACUGGCCGACCACAGCUGCUGGGUGGGUGCACAGGGGUGGGGAUUUCUCACGUGUAACGACAGCAGCAGAAGUUUGGCAUCUUGCAGGGGUGUUUCAGCUGUCUGUGAAAUUUCCAUUCUCUUUUGCAGAAAAAAGAAAGGAAAAAGC